GUGAUGCUUCACAUGAAACAUGAAUGGCAUGCAAUUCUUGCAGAGACAUGACUUCCCUAGAACUGUACUUGGAUGUUGGCAUCCAUUAUCAAAUUUUCCUAUUUGUCUAAAUUAUCAAUUGAAUUUGCAAGUCAAGUUUGUACGUAUCAAGUCAUGAACUGGGUUUAGCUCUGUUGAGAGUUCUAGUUUUUUUCUAUGUAGAUAUUGGGAAAACAAAAAGGUACUUGAAAGUGUAUUUUGUAACCUAUAAAAGGAGCUUUCUGCUGUAAUGAAAAGUAAGAUGAAUUUCCAAAAAAUGUGAAUAUAGCGUGAAUAUAAACUAUAGAGCAAUAGAAAAAAAUGUGAAUUAUACUAGAAGGAUU
rnacentral:misc_RNA from 1 species